CUCUACGGCCAUACCACCCUGAACGUGCCCGAUCUCUUCUGAUCUCGGAAGCUAAGCAGGGUUGGGCCUGGUUAGUACUUGGAUGGGAGACAAUCAACUCAAAAAGUGGUUGUUGCCAUAGACG
rnacentral:rRNA from 1 species